rnacentral:rRNA from 1 species
CGUAGGGUGCGAGCGUUAAUCGGAAUUACUGGGCGUAAAGCGUGCGCAGGCGGUUUUGUAAGAGAGGCGUGAAAUCCCCGAGCUCAACUUGGGAAGUGGCGCUUGUGACUGCAAGGCUAGAGUAUGUCAGAGGGGGGUAGGAAUUCCACGUGUAGCAGUGAAAUAGCGUAGAGAUGUGGAGGAAUACCGAUGGCGAAGGCAGCCCCGUCGGGACGUCACUGACGCUCAUGCACGAAAGCGUGGGGAGCAAACAGGAUU